UCUGUCAGUCCCUAAACACUCUCGCUUCUAAGUGCUCGGCAAUGCUUGAAUCCCCAAGCUAACCAAAACCUUGUAUAGGAUAGGCUCUGGCUUUGUUCUGGAAGACUGCGCCUGUGUGAAAAUGGUUAUAGAGCACCAACCACUUCAGUAUUUUAACUCUGAUCAGCAACAGAUCACUUUCAAGCACUUCAUAUCUGACCCUGAUGCUUCAGUCACUGACAUAUGAGGCUACAGUGAGAAGACUGCUGUCUAUGAACCAGGAAGUGGGCUCCCACCGGACACUGAAUCUGCCAG